AUGCUGAGCUACCAGAGCCCGACGGCCCAGCGGACGUGCGCGGCCCCGCCGCUCCCGGCGGCCGCGGGCGCGGAGCUCGCGCGGCUCGAGGCGCGCCUGGGGCAGUGCGCCGACCCGGACGCGCGGCAGCGGCUCGCGGGGCUCGGCGAGGCGGCGGCGGCGCGGGUGCUGCGCGCGAUCGCCGAGUCCCGGACGCCCGUCAAGACGCUCUCCGGCUUCAUCAGGUACCUGGCGGACAGGGCCGACAAGGACUUCGAGGCGAUGCAGCGCAACGCGCGGGGCAUCCCUCCCGCCAAGAGCGCCGCCUGCUGCAGCUCCGGCCCUUCGCAGGGAGAUGACUCUGUAUCUGGGCCACAGUACCAUAGCGAUGAUCAAGUUGAGGUUCAAAGCCCUUACACUGAAGAGAUAGCUUUUCGUCUCUCAAACCGUGCUGGGAGUCCCAGUCAACCGCGGCCUAUCAAUUUGCAAGAUAACAUGGGUCCUGUCAGAGAAAUUGUUUGUAUAGAACAAAACGUGACCGCGAUGGCAGCUAAUACUCCAUCUGGCCGGGCCUCCUUGCAAAUCCAGGAUGACAUUCAGAUUAAUGAUCGUAUCCGAGCAAUGACUCCUGCUAUGAUGCCGGCAACAACCCAGCCCAGGAUGGCAGCCGAGAACCCAUCCUCAAUGACACCUGCUAUGAUGCCGGUUCCAACCCUGCCAUGGAUGGCAGGCGAGAACCCGCGCGCUUGGAUCCCGCUCCUGAACCUGGACUAUGUUCCUACUCCUGAUGUUAUGAUGCAAGGAGGUAGCCCUGGCCAUUGUGUGUCCAUUGGGCUGCAUAAUGAUAUGAGGAUUGAAAGCCCCAUACCAAAUGCCAUUCAUACACCUCCAAGGAGUGUUUCCACACCAAGCCCUGUGCGGGAUCUUUCAAGACCUGUUCAGCGAAUGGUUCUUCCGUCAGGAAGCCCACAUAGCCCAGCAUGGGCAAUGGCGCCAAGUUGUGCAACCUAUCAUGCCACAGAAAAUGCAUUGAGGGAGAAAGCAAGUCCUCAAAUGCAAGCACUGGAGGAUUUGGAGUUCAUGAAGAGAUUUAUGAUUUGUGCAUACCUUCGUCAGAAGAGGAUAGAAGAUGAACUAUCUGUGGACUAUAUUAGAUCCUUGAAGUACCUUUCCAUGGUUCAGUUUGAGCCAGAAAUCUGGAGAGCAUUUGGUUGCAAGUAUAUAAAAUUUUCAGAUAGAGUGAAGAACCUUGAUUCCGACCCAGGUGCACCAAGAGUCUACCAUUGUAUUGUAGAGAUAACAGGGGAUUCUGUAGUGAAACUUUUCAAGGUUGCUGAAGAUGGUAUUAUUCUGGGUUUACGCCGCUACCGGUUUUUUGGUGUUAAUAAGCUGAUCCCUACAUAG
rnacentral:rRNA from 1 species